AUAUCGGUGAAUAUUAUCAAACUCUGCUCCAAUCUCUUGUUGCCUACCUUCUGAGAUUUAACAUCAACUGCAUCUUCUGGAAAUGGGUCACAUCCUUGGGUGUAACAUAGUUUUGGAGGUUUCUACUGUGAUAUCCUCAAGUGAAGAGAAUCAUUCCUCAGACGUGUCCAGCCUGCUAAUAAGCCCAUCAAAGGUACUCUUCAUUCUUCAUUUCUGUUAAAGUAUUUUUAAUCUCAAGCGUUUCAUUUCGGUUCUUUUUUAGAAUCCCUAUCUCUCUGCUUUCAUUGCCCAUCUGUAUAGUUUCGUGCUGUCUACUAUAACCAUUAGAUAUAGUACAUUAAUUACAGUUGUUUUGAAUUCCCAGUAUGCCAAUUCCAACAUCUCUGCUAUAUCUGACUCUGAUUUUGAUGCUUUCUAUAUCUCUUCAAAUUUUGUUUUUUGCCUUUCAGUAUGUUUGGUAAUUUUUUCUUGAUAGCUGGACAUAGUGUAGCUGUGGAAAAAGAAUUGCUCUAGAUAGGUCUUUAGUAAUGUGGUGGAGAGGGGUGGGGGGAGGAGAAGCAUUCUGAGUCCCAUGAUUAGGUCUCACAGUUUUGCAGUGAGCCUAUGCCUCUGGACCAUGAACUUCACAAGUGUUUCUCAGCAGGAUGGUUAGAGUGGGCUGGAGUCGGGUAUUUUCCUUCCCACACAUGGAAGACUGGAGACAGCUGUAGUUGGGUAUUUGCCUUCCUCCAGACCAUUUAGGUUCUGAUAAAGUCCUAGCAGGUUAGGCUCUGGUUAAAUAGUUCUGAGGGCA